CACGUCCCUUAUCCACACUGGCGUGACUUCAGUGACUGCCAUCAUUCUAAAUUCUUUUCCUCCCUUCUAGAUAAAGCAUUUGCCACCUGAUUUUCCAUCCCUUGUUUGUAUUGUAUUUCAUAGUCGAGCCCCAAUAACUUGGAUAACCAUUUCUAUUGUAGUGAGGUAGUAACUCUUUGCUUCAGUAGGUACUUGAGUGAUUGGUGGCCUAUUUUAAUUAAGAAGUGGUGGCCUUCAAGGUAAUGUCUUCACUUAUUCAUUGCUGUAAACAAUGCCAGUAGCUCAUUUUCAUAGAUGUAUAGGCCUAAGUUCUUGCUAUUUGUGCCUUUACUUAGAUAAGCUAAUGGCCUCCUAUUUUGCAUUAUGAUAGCUACAAUCCCUCCAUAACAUGCAUCAGUUUCAAUUAUGAAAAGUGAGGAAAAAGUCUGGUAAUGAUUACACGGGUGUGGUACUUAUAGCCUUUUUUAAUUCCUGAAAAGCCACACCAACAGCCUUACUCCAAUUAAAGUUGUCUUUCUUCGGUAAUUCAGUUAGGGGUCUGGCCAUAGCCCCAUAACCCUUUACAAUUUGAGAAUAAUCAGCUGCUCCUUUCUUUUGCAGAGAUGAUGUGUUCGAUGUAUUCUAUUUUAGACCGGCCAAAAGAACAUUUACCCUCUUUGGUAAAAAGCUAGUGGUGUUUGAAGAGCUCCAAUACCAUAGUGACAUGUUUACAAUGAGAUUUCAAGUCUUGGUUAUAAAUGAAUAUGUCAUCAAAGAAUACCAAAACAAAUUUCCUGAGAUGCUGAUUAAAUAUUUCAUUCAUCAUUCAAUUGAAAGUUGCAGGAGCAUUGUUAAACCCAAUUGGCAUUACCCUGAAUUCAUACAGCCUGUCAUGUGUUUUGAAGGUUGUUUUAAGGGUGUCCUCUUCUGCCACCCUAAUUUGGUGGUAUCCAACCCUCAAAUUAUUUGUAAACCAUCUUACACCCUUUAAUUCAUCCAAUAGCUCAUCUAUGACUGGCAUGGGAUCUUUUCCUUAAUGGUGAAACUAUUCAACUGUCUAUAGUCUACGCAAAACCUCCAUGUGCCAUCCUUCCUUUUCACUAGUAGGAUAGGAGAGGCAUAGGGGCUAUUACUAGCCCUUAUGAUUCCAUUUUCUUUCAUUUCCUUUAAUAUUCUUCAAUCUUCGCUUUCUGAACAUAAGGACACCUGUACGGCCUGAUUUUAAAUGGUUGUGCACCCUCCUUCAAUGGUAUACGAUGAUCAUUAAAUCGUAUAGGUAGCAAUCCCUUGGGUUCCAAGAAAACUAUAGGGAACUGAUUUACCACUGCCUUAAGUUCAGCUGGGACGGGUUCCUAUUCUCUUUCAGCAAUGGCAGAUAUUUGAGCCACUAUACCAUAAGACUGUUUCUUGAGUUCACUUUUCCUCUCAUAAUCUGGAAUUCUUCCCUGAUUGCGUCAUUCUGGAGUUUUAUUUCUAUACCCUCAUAAUUGGCUUAGCCAAUCCACUUCAUUCCAAGUACCAUAUCACUCCCUCCCAAUUUAAGCACCCUUAGUUGAAACUGAAGUUCCUCUUAUAUCCUCCAAACCAGUGGAUUACACACAGCUUCACUGACCAAUUUUCCUCCCCCUGCCACAGUCACUGAUGUGGGUUUUGCUUGCUGCAUCUUAAAGUUGAUAGACUGAGCCAUUUGUUCGUCUAUGAAACUGUAAGUGUUCCCACUAUCAAUUAAUAUAGACACCUUCCUUCCUUUAGUCAUCCUAGGAGGUCUUAUUGUCUUCACCACAGGGUUGCCUAAUAAUGCAUAGAUGGAUAUCUGCAUCAUUUCACCAUCUCCUUACCUAUUUGUUCUUUUACUUCAUCCAGUGGUUCCACUAUCUCCCUGUCACCUUCAUCAUCUACUAGUAUAAAAUGGGGCAUCUUAUUCUUGCAUACGUGCCAUUUAGUAUACUCUUAAUCACAUUUGUAACACAAUCCCAGCUCCUUUUUAGUAUGAAAAUCUAUAGGGAUCACAGCUUUAAAUUUAAGAGGGCUGUUGGAGUUUUUGGAAAUAGGUUCAGAAUGGCUUAUAUGUUUAUUAGUAACUUUAUUUGGCUUUGGGUUAGGAUUUGGAUUGGUGCAUUUAGAGUAGGGGUGUGGUUUGAAGGUAUUGGAUCCUUUGUUUAAGGCCGUUAUGAUAUUCUCUUGAAAGAGGUCAAUCUCAAAGGCUUUGACAAGGGUGGGGGGUUGAAUCAUUUUCACCAUAGGUUUGAUCUCAUCGUUCAGACCAUUGGUGAAAAUCGACAUGUAAUACGACUCGAUAAGUAGGGCAAGGAUGCCAUUACCUAGUAUUUCAGCUCCUCAAAUUGUUCUUGAUACUUCAUGACAGACCCCUUCUGCCUUAAUUUACUAAAGAUUUCAUCUACUUUUUCAGCUGUAUUGUCAGCAAAUCGCCUCUGCAAACGCAUCCAAUUAGCAGUUGGGUAGCUGGGGAUAAAACCAUGAAACCAAAUGUUAGCCUUUCCUUUUAGAUGUAUCUCUGAGAUUCACAUUUUCAACUCAUCCGCAACCUGAUGAAUUUGAAAAUACUCAUUUUCCUUCCUCAACCAUUCUCGUGGCCUUUUUCCACUAAAAUAAGGGAAAUUUGUCUUUGGUAAUUUGAUAGCCAUCCUCAUCUUCUUACUUCUACUGGAAUUACCAGAGUGGAUUUCAUUUCCCUUAAGACUGAGCUAACAUCAGCCUUAUUACCAACCUAUUUUUCUUUGUAAUCAGCCUUAUUACCAACCAACUGAGCUAACAUCAGCACCAUCGAUUCUUGAUUAGGUUUCAUUUUUCCAAUCAUCUGCUCCAUCCGAUCUUGACUAGCACAAAUGACCUGCAGCAUUUGGUCAUUGGUUUUAAAAACCACUACCAAAUUCGCUAUUUUCUUAUCUAACCUCUUAAGGUGUUCUUCGUUCGAUUUUCUGCCAUUCCCAGAUCCGUUGAUGCACUUGUACCAAUGUGUAAUGGUUGAACUGAAAUUCUCAUCCAAAUUUCCUAAAAUCCAACAACACGAUCAAUUUCCAAUUGAGAUUCUCCAUCACCAAGACUUCAAUUAAAAUUCAAAUGCAAUUACAGGAAAUAAGAACAAAAUAAACGAAAAAAUAGAAAUAAGGAGAGAGAGUUCAGAGAUAAGAUCCUUGAAAAUGAUUAUUCACACUGUUUUCCCUUUUUCACCUGCCGUUAUAACAGAAGGAAAUUGGAUUUUUGGAAACAUGUUUUUAUAAAAUGCAUUGACUUAUUACAAUUAAAACUCCAUGUAAAACGAUGCCGGACAAAUUUGAAUUUCAGUUAGCCGUUGAAGUUCCUUCUUCAUUCAUUUUCCUUGACCUGGCGCUUAUCUGUCCUUUCCUUCCCCAAUUCAACUGAUCUUCUCCCUUUGUGCCUCCAUCAUAACAUUGACGUGAAACGUAAAAAUUCAUUUAGGGCAAUGUAGAAACAAUGAAAAAAAUAAACUUAUUUUCUUGCACAAUAAUCUUUUUAGUAAAAGUAAAUCAAUGUAGUAUAAGAAGCAACAAAACUAUAGUCUAUAAUAUGACACGUGUUAAGAAUAUUUAGGCCCCGUUUGAUACCCACUUUUUUCAAAAUGCAUUUUUCUCUCACUUUUUUUCUACCAUACAUUUUUCAUUAAAAUAAUAUUACACGUAAAUAAAAAACUUUUCAUUAUUUUUCAACUACACAUUUCCCAUCAAUUUACUAUUCCAAAAUGUAUUUUUACAUAAAAAUGGCUUCCAAACACCCUCUUAGACGUCUAUCACCAUUUUAGAGUUUAUUCUCAUAUUAUUUUGAAUUAUUAUUGCAAAAGAAAAAAUAUUAUCUAAUAAACAAUUUAUAAGAAACUUCAUAAUAAAUACAUAGGAAAAAAAAUAGAAGCAUGUCUUGGUGGUACAUUAAUGGACUAGUCGACUACAAGAUCAAUAUUUCAUUAAAUUUGUAGUAGUUGAGAAUGAAACAAAAAGCGAAAAGACUCAACUUUAACAGAAAAAGGAAUGAGGUUAUAUUGAAAUGAUAUCUAUUGUAAUAUCAACAUAUUGAGUGUGAGUAUACCUUUUUAUAAUAUAUGUGGAUACAACUUAUGUCGAUUAUGCGAAAGUAGAAAAUUAAUUACUUAUGUAAAACGUUAAGUGAAUCACAAAAAACACGAAGUUGCUAUUGACAAGGAACAUAACAUGUGAUGAUGUAAUAUGAUUACCUCAACAAUUGACCACGCAAUAACCUUUCAACUACUUACUAUAUAAUCCAUGAACUUGGUAUACUUUUGGUCAAGUUGACAAGGGCCUACAACAGAGAGAUGCAAAUGCUAGAUUUUAAUGGUGAAACGUUGCAAGUUAAACUCACCGAUUAAAAAGUAAGAAAUAAUUAAGAAAAUGAAAAAGCAUUCACUUGGUCAUAAACUUUAUUGGAUACUAUUUACACUAGAAGUCAACAUAACACACUCCACGAGAGAAUUGUAUAAAUACAAGUGUGUCAAGCGUGUUUCAGAUAUUUGUAUUCUUUCAGAUAUUUGUAUUCAUAUCAACUUUUCUUUGAAAGUAUGAUUUUUCAACAGUUUUUCACUGCUUUCUUUUUCUAUAUCUAUUUCCAUCGAUCACUCUUAGGAUUGUCAUUUUCAUUGUCUAAACAUUUGUUUUUGGAGUUUGGAAGCUUCAUUGAAUCACUUCAAUGGCUUGCACGCCACCAGAAGUCCAUGUUUUGCUAGUUGAACAUGACGCUAAUCAUCUUAUUUCAACAAAGAAAAUGUUGGAAUUCUUUUCAUAUAAAGGUAAAUAUAUCAAAGAUUAAAUUUUCAUUUUAGUUUAAGUUUAAAUUAUUACAAGUAUAGAUAUGACAGAAGAACAUUCACCAUUUAAUUUCUUCUUGAAAUUGAAUUAUAAAAUCUUCCAUUAUGUUUUGCUUCUAUAGUCAGAUUUUGUUUAAUUUCAUGAUCGACAUGUGAUUUUGGGAAGAAUAAGUCGAAAUAGGUCGAGUGCUUUAAUCAAUUACGAUUAAUAUUAUAUCAAAAGUAAAUCUUCAUUUCAUGCUGAAUGCCAAAGCUUACCUUUUGGAAAGUAGACAAAUAGGUAAUACAUUUAGAAUUCACUAUAUGCAAUCAUUUAAAAAAUCACAUUUUCUUUAGGGCUAUUAAAGGAUUCAUUUUUUGCGUAAACUCAAAAUUACAUAAAAAAUUGGUUAGAAGAAAAUGUUUCUUGGACGUCUCACAAGGAUUAUAUACAUAUGCUUAUGUAAAUGUAAAAAUUAUUUUCAAAAAGAAAUAAAAUAAUAGAUCAAUAUAUUUCUUACAUUGUGAUAAUAUUAGUUUUUUUUUUCUUUUUUUAUCUGAUAAUUUCCCAAAUUACAAAUUUCGUUUCCUAUUCAUUAUUCUCUGGCAUCUCGUACAUAUAUUUCAAUGCAAGAUAAUUAAAUAAAAAAAUAAGAUUUUUAUUUUCUAUCAGUAGUUCAUUUUUGAUAUGGCUUGAAGGAGAAAUAACAUCUUAACAACUUGCUUAUCUUUUGCAUUUCGUUAAUAAUCAGAGUUCAUGAUUGUGAUUCUUACUUCUUCAUUAAGAAAAUAAAGAUUUUUUGCUAUAUAUUUUAUAGAUACAUGUACAUAGUCAUAUAGGUCUUAUUUAUUUGGCUAAUCUAUACAUAAAUAUCUGAUCUAGGUUCAGACAAGCAUACCUUCAUGUGAUCACACUCAUACUGGCAAAAAGGAUUUUAGAAAAAGAAGAGAAAAAAUAAUUUUGCAAGUGUAAAGGGAGAUGAUUUAUAAUGUGCAAAAAUGGGUAGUUUUUAUAAAUUUCGAUAUUAAAAUUUAUUACAUUAAUUUUUUAAAUUUAAUUUUUUAUUUCUCAUUUAAUGAUUCUAAAGUAAAUAGUUUGUUUUGUAGUAAAAUGCGUUGAAUAUGCCUCCACUGCUUUGUUGAUGUUAUCAAAUGAGAAGGUUCAGGUUGAUAUUGUGAUGGCAAAUAUCAACUAACUUGACGCAUGCGCCUUUAUGCUUCUCCAA
rnacentral:lncRNA from 1 species